rnacentral:rRNA from 1 species
GUAGGUCACAAGCGUUGUCCGGAAUUACUGGGUGUAAAGGGAGCGCAGGCGGGAAGACAAGUUGGAAGUGAAAUCUAUGGGCUCAACCCAUAAACUGCUUUCAAAACUGUUUUUCUUGAGUAGUGCAGAGGUAGGCGGAAUUCCCGGUGUAGCGGCGGAAUGCGUAGAUAUCGGGAGGAACACCAGUGGCGAAGGCGGCCUACUGGGCACCAACUGACGCUGAGGCUCGAAAGUGUGGGUAGCAACCAGGAUUAGAUACCCUGGUAGUCCACACCGUAAACGAUGAUUACUAGGUGUUGGAGGAUUGACCCCUUCAGUGCCGCAGUUAACCCAAUAAGUAAUCCACCUGGGGAAUACGACCGCAAGGUUG